CGCGGCGGCAGCCUCAUUUUUGCGCCGUUGGUUGGCUGAGCUCGGAUGACGGCUCGAUCGAUUGCUUUGGUCUGGCGUCGCCGAGAGGCCCGACGGGACAACGCCAAGCACGACCAUUUGUGUUCCAAUUUUUGUCCGUCCGAACGCCACCUGUUUUUGUUUUUUGUUUUUUUUGCCUGAGUUUCUACGCAACACAAGACGUCGACAAGAGGACCGAAGCUUCCUCUUGUGCUGCUAGCCGAACCUAGCAUAGCGAAACAACUUCCGUCCCGUCAAGACCGAAAUCGACAAAAUGGCGGCGCAUUCCCGCGCGAGAACUCCCCGUCGGACUCUCCGAACGGGCGCCCGCCUUCUCGGCUCCGUCCGUACUUGCUCAUUCGGCGGAUGUUACGAAAACCACCGACUGCCUUCCCGCCGUCAAUCAAAGCGAGUCUGAAAAAUGAGUCACUCCAAGGCGUUUUCGCCGCAGAGUAAACCGUGCAGAAAGUGCCAUUCAUCAAGCGCGCUCGGCGACCUGUUGUUUCUGCACGCACGGAAAGACGAGCCGGUUUUGGAGCGCCGCUGUUGAUUUUUUUUUUGGCCCGCACACAUCGAUUUCCACUUCAGGCCAAUCUGCAGUUCGGGAUCAGAGAGGAAGCCAGUUCACCUUAACAAGGUAACCAGAGCUCAGCGCUCCAAUGUGGACCAGCUGCGGCGGCUCAUGUGGGACCUUACCAGGGAUUUGGGGGCGCCCGCCUGGAGUUUAAUUGAGCAUUAAUUACAAAUAGCGCAAUUUCCCCCCCACCCCUCUCCUAAAAAUGGAGACCCUCAUUUUCGGAUUGCUCUCUUUGUUGUCUCAUUUGGGCUGACUUCCUGCGCCGUCCACUUUGUUUACAAUCUCCGUCUCGUGUCCCGUCACGGAAAAUCGAGCCUUGAUUUCGCAAUCGGGUCGACGCCCGCCCGGUUGCGAUUCAUCCGCCGCGCAUUUUCAUUUUUGAUGGGCUGUCAAAUGUA